rnacentral:rRNA from 1 species
GCGAGUGAAGCGGCAACAGCUCAAAUUUGAAAGCUGGCUCCGGCCCGCAUUGUAAUUUGCAGAGGAUGCUUUUGGUGAGGUGCCUUCCGAGUUCCCUGGAACGGGACGCCACAGAGGGUGAGAGCCCCGUAUGGAUGGACACCAAACCUGUGUAAAGCUCCUUCAACGAGUCGAGUAGUUUGGGAAUGCUGCUCAAAAUGGGAGGUAAAUCUCUUCUAAAGCUAAAUACCGGCCAGAGACCGAUAGCGCACAAGUAGAGUGAUCGAAAGAUGAAAAGCACCUUGAAAAGGGGGUUAAACAGUACGUGAAAUUGUUGAAAGGGAAGCGUUUAUGACCAGACUUGCGCCGGGCAGCUCAUCAGGGGUUCUCCCCUGUGCACUCUGCCCGGCUCAGGCCAGCAUCGGUUCUCGUGGGAGGAUAAGAACGGUGGGAAUGUGGCCCCCUCUCGGGGGGGUGUUAUAGCCUGCCGUACGAUACUCCCGUGGGGACCGAGGUUCGCGCUCCGCAAGGAUGCUGGC